UUCAGGUGACUAUAGCAUCAGGGUUCCACCUCUUCCCAUUCCGAACAGAGAAGUUAAGCCUGAUCACGCCGAUGGUACUGCGUAACAGUGGGAGAGUAGGUAGUCGCCGUUUU
rnacentral:rRNA from 1 species